GACAGAGGAUGCAAGCGUUAUCCGGAAUGAUUGGGCGUAAAGCGUCUGUAGGUGGCUUUUAAGUCCGCCGUCAAAUCCCAGGGCUCAACCCUGGACAGGCGGUGGAAACUACCAAGCUGGAGUACGGUAGGGGCAGGAGGGAAUUUCCGGGUGGAGCGGUGAAAUGCGUAGAGAUCGGAAAGAACACCAACGGCGAAAGCACUCUGCGUGGGCCGACACUGACACUGAGAGACGAAAGCUAGGGGAGCGAAUGGG
rnacentral:rRNA from 1 species